GUUUGUGGAGAAGCUCAAUCAAUCUUGUGGUAAGCUUGUUAUUCCAUAUUAUUUUGGAUGAAAUAUUCAAGUUUUUGUUAGAGAUUUUGAAACCUUGAAGUAAGGAAAUUUAAUCCCGUUUUUGGAGCUGGCAGCAGUUAGUAUAUUGACCAUAACUUUUUAUCUAUAAGGCGGAAUUUGGUGAUUCAAAAUGCUGUGAAAAGAUAAGAAAAUUACCCACAACUUUUGUGUUUUGCGAAAAUUCUAAUUCCUCUGUUUACUAUGUCAAAAACGGACUGCAAGGCAGCACAUAGCUGCUGUCCAGAAUUUUUUUCUACUUAAAAUUUUGCAAUAAUGGUGACCUAUUUAGCCCCGUUUUUGUUCGUCAUGAUUUAUCAUUUAUAUCGUUAAACUCCAGGCCUUAAGUGAGUAUUCCAUUGUGUAUUUAAGGUGCAAGAGGCUCUUGUAAAAGCUAAGGAAGUCGAUAUAAUUGCUUGAUCGUUGCCUUGGGGAUUGUAACUUCUUGGUGUUUUUCUUUGAGCUUUAGAGUCACUAAAGCUCCAAGGUCAUGGCAGAGUAUCUCGGAGGCUCUUGGUAGGAUGAUACAGUCAGUGUAUGGUCAGCAAGCUCCAUUCCUUCGGACUUGCGUAGGUUAAGUAUAUAUAUGACAUAUAUGUUAUGUAUUCAUUAUGUCUGACGAGUAUGGCGGGGCCCAAUCCCGACCAGUAUACACACGUUCACUCUUAGAGGCUCAUAGACAGAUGUAGGUAUGUGUAUAUCAUGUGUGGCCUUGUCGGCCCCAGUGAAGUUAUGAUGUCAUUGUUCUAACCUUGCCAGUCAUAUGUUAUAUGUAUAAGGAUAGUGGCGGCCUUGUCGACUCGCGUAUGUAUAUGUGUCCAUACUUAUAUGUGUGUGUGUGUGCGCGCGCGCGGGGGCGAUGUCUACUGUCAUGUUGGGCCUUUUCUGCGGCGGAUGACAUAGCAUAGUUUUGAGACAUAAAUUAUGCUUCUAAGCACGCCACGUGACGCUCAGUGAGUCAAGCCGGGUGCCCGUUAUGCCCCUCGGUUUGGGGUGUCACAAAUUGGCUUUCAAUUAAGGUCAGAAUUGACCAUUUCAAUUGUAGCCAUUAUCAAUUUUAUAAUAAACAGUUUUAGGGAA